rnacentral:misc_RNA from 1 species
GACAGUGGUAUGGCGGUUGUUCGACUGCGGUUGCUGCAGUGUGUAGCCGAAAGUUUUAGGACUUGUCGUUCGCAUGGGAAAUCAAAAGGAACCAUGAUGUUUUUGGCUUCCAUCGUCUUUUUAGGACUUUUCAUUGAGGGCGGGUCCGCCCAGGACGCGACGCCUCGGGGCAAAAACAGUUGUUACGACGAUGCGGGUCGGGCUCGGAGGUGUAUGCCCGAGUUUGUGAACGCCGCUUUCGGCCUGCCGGUGGAGGCAACGAACACUUGUGGCCUCACCGAGGGUACGGAAUACUGCCUACAGACCGGCCACAGCGGCGUGGUGGGCGUCACCAAGUCGUGCUACGUCUGCGACCACCGCGACCCGGCGCGCAGACACCCCCCAGAAUUCAUGACCGACUUCAACAACAAUUAUAACUGGACUUGGUGGCAGUCGGAGACAAUGCUGGAAGGGAUCUUCUUCCCAAACCAAGUCAACCUAACGCUGCAUCUGUCAAAAGCCUUUGAUAUUACCUACGUAAGGAUACGUUUCCAUUCUCCAAGACCAGAAAGUUUUGCAAUUUACAAGCAGAAAAGCUCUGAUGAUGAGUGGAUACCGUUCCAGUUCUAUAGUGCUUCAUGUGAACGGACCUAUGGUUUCAAAUCACGGGAGAUCAUUACACGUGAAAACGAAGCAAAGGCUAUGUGUACCGACGAGUUCAGUGAUAUUUCACCUCUUACCGGAGGAAGUGUGGCGUUCAGCACGCUCGAAGGAAGACCAAGUGCUUUUGAGUUUGAAGAAAGUGAGGUUUUACAGGAAUGGGUGACAGCGUCUGCUAUCAGAAUAGUACUUACACGUAUGAAUACAUUUGGAGAUGAAGUAUUUGGCGAUCCACAAGUGUUGAAGUCUUACUUUUUUGCCAUAUCAGAUUUAGCAGUAGGUGCCAGGUGUAAAUGUAAUGGCCACAGUAACAAGUGUGACCUGGUCACUGGCCAGGGUCUGGAAGACAACCUGGUGUGCAAGUGUGAACACAACACUCACGGCGUCAACUGUGAGGAGUGCCUGCCGUUCUACAACGACCGGCCCUGGAGGAGGGCCACGGAGAGGGACGCUCAGGAAUGCUUACCAUGUGACUGUAGUGGACUGUCCAACAGGUGUUACUUUGACCCCGACCUCUAUCAGCGGACGGGACAUGGCGGACAUUGUAUCAAUUGCCGUGACAACACGGACGGUGCCCACUGCGAGUUGUGUCUCCCCAACCACUACAGACGGAUGCCAGAAAACAGAUGUGUUGACUGCCGGUGCAAUCCAACAGGUUCGGAAAGUCAACAGUGCGGUCAAGAUGGCCGCUGUCGAUGUAAGCCUGGAGUGACCGGAGACAAGUGUGACCGCUGUGCUGCUGAUUUUUACGACUUUGGUAACUACGGGUGCAGACCAUGUUCGUGCUCAGCGGCCGGCAGUUUUAACAACGAGCCUCGUUGUGACUCUAGGACGGGAGUCUGCAAAUGUAAAGAGAAUGUGGAGGGCCAGAACUGUGACACGUGUAAGCCUGGUUUCUUUGGACUGAAUGGAGCCAACCCUUUUGGAUGUGUGUCAUGCUUCUGUUACUCACAUUCCUCCAUCUGCCAGAGUGCACCAGGCUACUAUGCUAGGAGUAUAGCAACAGACUUUGAGACAGGAAAACAGAGAUGGACAGCUGUGGAUCGCCGUGGUGAUGUGAUUGAGACCCAGUACAACGCUCUCACUCAGAACCUGGGAGUAUCAGCAGAAAGUUCAGAGCCAAUAUACUUCCUGGCCCCAGGUCGUUAUCUAGGUGACCAAAGAUUCAGCUACAACCAGUUUUUAAGAUUCAACCUACGUAUUGGCGAGCAGAAUGCCAGGGCGUCCAUCAUAGAUGUGUUGGUUGAGGGAGCUGGACAACAGAUCUCACUGCCUAUAUUUGGAGGAGGAAACCCGAUGCCAGCCGUCGUGGGAAAUGAUUUUAAAUUCCGUCUCCACGAACAUCCAGAUUAUCAGUGGACACCAAGGUUGAAAGCGGAAGAUCUAAUUGGCAUCUUAGCUAAUGUCACAGCCAUUAAGAUCAGAGCAACGUACAAUCCAGAAGGUGUUGGAUUUAUCGAUGACAUUAAACUCGAAACUGCGCGACGUGGUUUCAAUGCUGGCGAUGAGGCAUCAUGGGUAGAACAGUGCACGUGCCCAGAGGGAUACGUGGGCCAGUUUUGCGAGUCAUGUGCGCCAGGAUUCAAGAGAGAUCCACCUAAUGGAGGACCCUUUGCCCAGUGUGUGCCCUGUGUGUGCAACGGCCAUUCAGACGUCUGUGAUGGAAACACUGGUAGAUGUAUCUGUCAACACAACACUGCUGGUGACUAUUGUGACCGAUGUGUGUCUGGUUACUACGGCAAUGCUCGGCAGGGAACUCCACAGGACUGCCAGCCAUGCCCAUGUCCAGGGGGCGGAGCCUGCAUCCAGCUAUACAAUAGGGAUGUUGUCUGCACUGAAUGUGCAGAGGGAUAUGGAGGCAACAGAUGUGAACUUUGCUUGGAUGGUUAUUUUGGGGAUCCUUCAAAUCGCAAACCCUGCCAGAAGUGUUUCUGCAAUGACAACAUUGAUCCGAAUGCUGUUGGAAACUGUAAUUCAACCACUGGAGAAUGUUUGAAGUGCAUCUAUAACACAGCUGGCUUCUACUGUGAAAAAUGUCUGCCUAGUUACUAUGGUGAUGCUAUUUCUUUACCCAAAGGACAGUGUCAGGCUUGCAACUGCUACCCACUGGGUACGAUCCAGGCUGGUGUUUUGACCUGUGACCCGACUGGACAGUGUCCAUGCCUGCCCAACGUGCGUGGCCAGCAGUGUAACCAGUGUAUGAGUGGAUACUGGAACCUCAACAGUGGACAAGGUUGUGACAGUUGUGAUUGUGAUCGUGUGGGUUCCCUUAACUACACCUGUGAGUUGGAGACCGGUUUGUGCACCUGCAAACAAGGUGUGACUGGGCGGCGCUGUGACACCUGUCAGAAGUAUUACUUCGGAUUCUCGCCUACUGGUUGUCAAGCAUGUAACUGUGAGCCUGAAGGAUCCCUCGACCUGCAGUGUGACGAGUACGGCAACUGUCCGUGUCGGACAAAUGUUGACGGGCGACGGUGUGACCGGUGUAUGGAAAACAAGUUCAACAUCACAGCUGGCUGCAUUGACUGUCCGAGGUGUUACGAUCUAGUCCAGGAACAGGUGAACAUCCACCGCACCAAGCUGCGAGAGUUGACCAACCUCAUCAACAACAUCGGCAACAACCCCAGCCUGUUCAAUGACACCGAGUUCAUCAGCUACAUGAAGGCCGUCAACACCUCUGUUAAUGUCUUGCUAAAAGACGCCAGAGGAGCAUCCAGUGGUGACGGGUCGAUAGGCAAACAGCUGCAGGACCUGCGAGCCGACCUCAACGAGGUCAUAGUGAAGACCGGUCAGAUAACUCGCAGCAUCGCGUCUGCCACCGAUGCCUCCAUGCGGACGAUGGGCGACAUCAGUGUGUCGGAAGAGGCCAUCGCUCGGGCGCAGAUAUCGCUCGAAGCCGCUGAGGACUACAUCGACAGGGAGGGAAGGCUGGCCCUGCAGAGGGCGCUGGAAGCUCUCGGCAGAUUCGGGAGACAGUCCGAGCAGAUGACGCGCAUUGCUACCAGGGCGAAACUUGAAUCAGAAAGGCAAAUGGAUGAUGCCGAAAGGAUCAGCACAAUUGCUAAGAAUGCUCUGAACACAUCGAGAGAAGCACUUCGUCUUGCUCAGGAAGUCUUCAGCAUGCCAGACCAAACUGCUUACGAAAUACAGAAAUUGAGACAAGAUUACAGUGAUGCUGACCGUCUGUUCACGCAGACUAAGAUUCUAGCGCAGGAGGCCCAGGACCUGUCUAAGGAGGCCCACAGCCAGGCCCUCGACCUGUACACCGAGGCUCUGGAGGACAUACCAUCCGUCAAUGUGCCACAACUCAUUGCUGAUGCAGCACAGAUAAAAAAUGAGGCUAUGCAGAUCAAAGCAGAGACAGACCGGCUUGUAAAUCAAAAUCAGGAACUUCUCAGUGAUGUUGAAAAACAGAAAAUAUUGGCUGGGGAUAAGCUGGAGGGAGGAAUCCGAUUGCAGCAGACAACAGAUGAACUGCUGGCGGAGGUGGACGCUGCCCGGGCAACAGCGAGGGAUGCUGUAGAUAUGGGAGAGACGACUCUGAAGGAAGCCAAUGAAACUCUGAAAACUCUUAUAGAGUUUGACAAGCUGGUGCAGGAGAGUCGCGGCAAGGCUGACGAGGCCCUGAAGAAGGUUGGAAAGAUCGAAGACACGAUCCGUCGUGCUGAGCAGACCACCGGGGAGGCCAGGGGGGCCCUCAGUGGUGCCAGCUCUGAUGCCAGAGAGGCAUUUAGGCUUGCCAAACAGGCUCAAGAAACUGCUCAACAGGCUUCAGAUGAAGCCAGUAAUAUUCGCGGAGAGGCUGAACGUAUGAAGGAAAAGGCCACCGGUCUGAAGGAUGAGGCUGACAGGUUGUCCACUGAUGUCGACGAUGCCAAAAAAAGAAUGGACGAUUUUGAUUCUCAGGGCAUGGAUGAUGACCGACUUGCUAAAGAGGCUUUAGAUAAAGCAAAUGAAGCUAAGUUUGUUGCCGACGAUGCCUCAAAGAAAGUUGAAGAUGCUCUUGACACAGUCAAGAAUAUUCUUAGGUUGCUAGGAACCGUGGAGAUGGCGAACCCCGCCCAGCUGGAUCAACUGGAGAGGGACCUGGACCAGGUGGAGCGGGCUUUAGCCGACGCCGAGAUCGAGAAGCAGUUUAACAAGAUCACCAGAGCGAACGAUCUGGUGAAGAAACUCGCCACUCAGUACACGGAGGACUAUUCCCAACUGCAGGCGGACGUUGACAAUAUAGAAGACAUUAAAAACUCCUUACCAGAUAACUGCUUUAAGAAUAUAGAAAUUGAACCCUGAGGAGCGGACCACCUUGUUGUGUUCAGUUUUUGUAAAAUCAGUGAAAACACACACAAAAACAACGUAUUACAGCCUAUGCUGGGACAAGCAGAAAAAGGAGUGGCGUCCGUGCUAAAAGUGUUAUUUGUUCUGAUGUUUCAUAAUGCACCAAAAAAAAUGUGGAGAUUUGACUGCUGCAGCGUGUUGUGUAAUAAACAGGCUGGGGGAACCCUGCGGUCUGACCGUGACCCUGCACUGUGUAACCUUCACCCUGCUAGAAACGCCAUCUUACCUCAUUGCUCAUUUGUUAUUCAGAGAUUUUGUUUUAGUUCUUUUAAUGGUCAAAAGUCAUUUUGGUAUUUUCUAAAAAUAAUUUUUACACAAGAUUUUUAUACAAUAAUGUGGCAAAACUUAAUUUACACAGGCCACAGGCAGAUUCAGUCCUAAUUUAUGUCAUUAAAAUAAAAUCUUAUUUUUCAUGUUUUAAUCCAUUUAUGAAGGGAAUUUUGAGUUGAGAUAUUAUACAUCUCAAUACCUGGUAUAUAUAUUUUAAUUAUGUGGUCGAAAUGGGGACAGGAGAAUAAAUGUUACUAAAACACUCUUAUUAAUCAUCUUAUAUAUGACAUUUUAAAACCUCUAGCCUACUUAAAAACAAAAUGGGUAAAAUAACUGCAAGUUAGAUCUUAAAGUGAGAUAUAUAAUAGUAAUACAAAGCAAAAUGUAAAAUAAGCAGUAAGCAAAUCAAAUUUAUCACUGAUAUAUCUUUUAUAUAUUAAGUAAUAUUGAGAUAUUUUAAAAAAUAGGGUUUUUUUUAAUUAUUGUGUCUGAUGUCAAAUCAAGUAAUAAUGUUGGAUCUAUGCUGGUCAAUUGAUGCUGUUAUUUUUACCCUGUUGAUAUUUAAUCAACUUGCUAAACUUACAAAAUGCAUAAUAUGUCGGGAUGAUUAAAAAAAAAUCCAAGUGUUUAAAGUGAUAUUAAUAAAAUGUGUUUACACUAAGUUCUAUAUUACACAGUAUUAAUACUUGCUUACAACACAGAAAAGUAAUUUUUUUGUAAACUUUUUUUUUGGAAAAAGGUAGCAUUUUUAGAUCAUAUUUAAGAAAAAAGAUAGAAAAACUAUAAAACUCCCAUUUUAAAAUAGUUUUUAUGAUUUCCUGUCAUUUAAGAAUGCUUAGGAUGUAUAUAAUUAAUGAAAUCAUUGUGUACUUUUGCCAUUUCAUGUAAAUAAUGAAAAAUUACUGGCUAGCAACACUUUUCUUCUUUCUUGUUUUUUGCUAACAAAAACAUACCAAAGUAGCUGAUAUUAUUAUAGUAACCAUACUAAUUUAACUGGGUUUUUUUUUUUUUUUUUCAGGAUGAAGUAUUUUCGUACUUGAAUGUACCAGCAUAUUAUAAUUUUUAUUAUUUCUCAAUAUCAGAUGUAUGCUUUUACCUAUUUGCCUUAUAUUACCUCAGAAAAUGUACAAUCAAAGUGCCAAAUUAAAAAACAACAAAAAAUGUUGAUCCAAAGUACCAGGUUUUUUUUUUUUUUAAGAAGGCAGACUUGCAUAGGCGUCGGAAAUGGGGGGGCACUGGACCUCCCAACUCUGAAACUGGGGGGCCAUAAUAUGCACAAUAUGAACUUGCAUUUAAUAAGUGCCCCCUGCCAUUUGCUGCCAUUUUCUGAUGCCUAUGACUUAAUAUUGUGCAGCAUGAUAAGGCCACUAGUUUAAAGUUAUUUUUGUGCUUAAUGCUUAAUGCUUAAGCGCAUUGUCCUGGACACAAAUCUCAGCUUUGUGGGAUGUCUGACUACAACAGAUGUGUAGAUAUUAGUUAGUGAGAAACAAAAUUGGUUAAUGAUCUUAUACCUACCUCCAUAGUGAACUUCAAUUGUUUAUUUGCCCAAAACGUCUGCUUAUAGGCCAAAAUAACAAAAAUGUAUGUGUGAUUUUAACAUAGGCCAUAAAUAGGUCAGAUGCAUGUGUAGGAAAUUAUGCAGGGAGCAUCUACACUGAGGAAUGAAUGUUCUAGAGGGUUUCAAGUUAUGCUUCCCCAGAAAAUAUGUUUGACUGCUGAAACCUCCCCAGCACAGGCUGCAUGGGUUACAAGAUGCUGCUAUUUUGAUGCCUGUAAAAUUCAGUAUGGCUGCAAUCCAAUAUUGGGGUGCGAACUCAGUACCUUCCAGCUUUAAGGUCGAAAGCUUAAUUAUUAAGCCAUCAAGGCUGGUGACCUCUUAUUGGUUUCAGAUUUAUAUUCUACACAUGUGCCCAUGACAGGCGUGUGCUACAACAGCUUGUUCUGAAUGCGCACGUUAAAACCUAUGACCUGACCUGACCUGGAUCGAAAGUCAAUACUAUGGGAUGGACUGCCAGUAACACUGUUAACAUAUUCAUUCUAUGGAUGAGGGUUUUGACUGUAGUCAAUAUUUGGUAUUACUAUUUAUGUGUUGCCUUUAUUCUUUCCAUCAGUAUAUAGCCUACAUCAAACGUUUUAAAAAGAAGUCAUAUUAGUUGAGGCCAGUGGCCAUAAUGUUCAUUAAAGUAAUAUGCUAUUAAUUAAUGACACUCUUCUUUUUUUUUAACUCGCAUGCUUGCAAAACGCUCAAGUGCAUGCCAAGUUUCUGGUUUGGGAAUUAUUUCGACAGCAGUAUCAUUGUUCCAAUACCUGGUUGUAAGUAGCAAUAGCACACAAUAAUUCGACAUAUUACCGAUUCUUCUAUUAUAAUAUACCGGUAAGAAGAAGAACCCCACUGGUUAUAACUGAUGUAGCAGUAAUAGUGAGCUAUACCCUCAUAAAACCUGUACCUCCAUAAUAGAACCAAUGGUUGUAGAUGUAGUUUUUAUAAAAGCUAUACCUCAUUGAGAAUGUAUAACUCUGUUGAUUGCUGCUUGUUGGGUCUGAGGAAAAUUUCACCUUUGUAACCAAGACUGACUUCGUUUUUAACUACUUCAUUCCCACGUCUGAAAAAAUGGCAUUUUUGAAGAUCAUAAUCGAUUGUAACUAAUGUUGAUGCUUGUCUGCCAAACAGUGAGUCUGCACUUGAAUUGCAUUGUCUUCACUAUAGAGACAUUUGUAUAGAAAGUUAUGUCCUGGGCCCAUGCUUAUAAAAACUUUUAGAGUCCAGACUCAAUCUCUAAUGAUGUCACACACAUACAAUUUGUAUGGCGUUGCCAUGAUGUUCACAUCUCAGACUCUUAUUAGAGUCUCAAGUCUAGACUCGUAAAAGUUUUAUAAGCACCAGACCUGAUCUGACAAAAGGGAGGUACAGUGUAGAUCCAUUUUAUUCCAUGGAAUUCUUGUAUUCUUCUGUAGAGUUGUUGAUAAAUUUGUCCUGUCUUCAUAAAAUUAAUCUUGUACUUUGUGCUUUUAUAAAAAAAAUCGUCAUAAAAUUAAAAUUAAUCUUGAAAGCUAAACAAUUUUAGCUUUUUCAUUAACACUGGUAUUAACAGCAGCAGCAGCAGCAGCAGCAGCAGCAGCAGCAGCAGCAGUGGUUUAUGUAGAUUUAUAUUUAUAUAUAUAUGUGUGUGUGGGGGGCCCCCCACUUUGUGGCACCUUCCUACACCACUGAUUAAUAUUGCAGAUGUUAAUUUUGAAGUUAUUUCCCUUCAUCAGAUCGGGUCAGGGUUGUCUACCUAACCUUUUUGCACUAAAGACAAGAAGAUACCUCACAAUGCUGUAUGAUGUAUUGUGAUAGAGAUGAAAUAUGAUUUACGUUUGACUGACAAUUUUCUAAAACCCUUUUUUUCCUUUUGUGUCUUCCUUUGAGUGCAUUUGGCGAUCUUCUUUUCCGAAGACCAGAUUUUAAAAUACUUAGGGCCUAAUUUAUGAAGCCUGUUUAUCUUAAACGCAAGUGUUUAAACUUAGUAAAUGUAUGUAGUUACACGCUGGUAGAUCUAAAAUAGGCUUUGUAAAUUCGGCCGUUAUUGUCUAUUUAUAAAUGUUUAUUAGUUUGUAUUUAUGGCAUUUCGGUCACAAGCAUUAUAUUCUUGUUUCACUCUUUUUAUGGUGCUAUAUAUGUUGUAUGUUUAUUGAUAUUGUAUCAGGUCUAUUACUCCAUGUAUUCUGUAUAUUAAUCAAGUGUUGGCCAGUCGCAUCAUGCCAUAAUAAAACAGUUGAAUAUUUAAAACAAUGCUUUACUGUUUGUUACUCAGUGGUCAACAGGGUUUUCCUGAUGGUGUAAUUAAACUCAGUUGUAGCUAAAAAAUAUUUUUGUUACUUUAUAGAUAAUUUAAUUCCCCCCACAUAAUUUAGAUGGUAUGUGCUAUACAAGUCUCUUGGAUAUAUAAAGUAAUGGCAACGUGUGUUGGCUGCUUUUUGUCAUUUUUAUUAAGACAUUUUGAUUAAUUUUUUUGAAUUAUAAUUUAAUAUUCAGUUGAAAAAUAAAUGUACUAGUGUGGUACUAGAGGUUAAUUAUAAGAUAUUAAUGACAAAUUUAUUUUUUCAAAAUACCUAUCUAUUAGCAGCAUUGAAUUAUAGGGUUGUUUCGAUUUUUUUUGUGUAUAGGUUGGGUGGGGGAUAUGCUAAGAAUUAAUGUUUUUGAAAGUUUUAAAAUUAUUUAAUGUCAAUAUAACUUUUGUAUAAUGUUGAAGAAACAAAUGGAAAACAUUGAACGUUGAUAAUGUUGAUUUGUGAACACUUAGGCCAAGCCCUGUUGUAAGAUGAUGCAUUGGUAACACGUUUGUGUAUAUUAACUGUUUUUAACAAGUAGACUUAUUACUGCUAUUUGCUUUUUCUGUGCCAAUUCGAUUGUAGUUCUUUUUUUUCUUUUCUUUUUAGUAGCAUUGUACAGAUUUUGUGCUAGCUAAUAGUUUUCUUUUUAAAAGUAAUUUAUUGCUCAAACCAGAACUUGGUUUGGUAUAGCAUCAUGGUGUAUAGUAACUAGUAUCUGUAGAGUUCAUGGUAGAUUGUUUUACAGUAUUUUGGAGCAAAUCAUAUAUAUCUGCUCAGGGAUGAAAUAAACGGGGAUGGAUCGUUACAUUUAAAUUUUUUAUUAAAGGUACAUGUUCUAAAUGCUUAAAUUAAAGUCAUAUCAGCAUCAUCCUCAUAGAUUGAACUCCUGAUGUGUAAUGCCCUAUAGUAAUGUAUAGAGAAGAAAUAUACACUAAAAGUUGUAAUAUUGAUGCUAUUACUGGUGCAUCGACAAGUUUGACCAUUGCAUUAAACUGUUAUAGUAAUGUUGAAGCACAUUGUUAUGGGCUUCUACCAUGAUUAAAACACAUCUAAUGUACAAAAACUCCAAGCAAGAAAGGCUGUAUUGUGCAGAAAUAAUAUACAGUGUAGCAGAACAUGUAUCUUUAAUUUUAAAAAAAUAUUAAACACAACAACUGUAUAAAGUAAAACGUACAUAUGUUUAAUGUUGUCUUGUUUUUAAUAAAUGCUAUUUUAGUUCCAACAUAAUUAUUAUUAUUUUUUUUUUUUUAAAGAGAACUGGUACAUGUGUGUAUGUUGUGUUAUGGCAGAUAUAAAUGCCACAUUUGUACUUGUUAGUUUGGAGUAGUAUAUUCUAUACAGUAUAUUAUGUGGCUUUUAUGUGGACCCAUUUUGGGAUUUUCACUUUAACAACUACAUGUAAAUACCCAGUGUAGAUUUAUUUCACAUUUUCCAUUUGAUUAUUUUAUUAAAAUGAUAGAAAAGUAAUUUCAAAUUAAGAUAGUUUCAACAGCUCUUAAAGGUUGCCCUUCCUCCCUCCCCUACUCCCUUUUGUAGUCAUAUCAUGUGUUAAGAUAAAAUUGACUUGUUUAGAAAGGGGUGGUGAGUUGCUUCUCCUCUUACUUUAUCUGGAUCUUCCCUGAUUACUUUGACCUUUUGUAAAUAGUAUUAUCCUCUGAAAUAGUUUAGAUCCCUGAUAUUAAUAAUUAAAAGGAAUGCCUACAAUAUGUUCGACUGUAUUUUUAACACAUUGCUAAUUUCUCCAUCGAUGGUGAAGCACCAUGUUAAAAUUUUUGUGUGAAAAUACAGACCAUUUCAUGCAAAAUUCACUAACGUUUUUCAGGUUUUUUAUAACAGGAGAGGUCGGUAAAUACCAGGGGCCUAAUUCACUAAAGUCUCGCAACUUUGCGAUCUCGCAGUGCAAUGCUAAAAGACUUGCAAAGAGGAUGCUUUGUUAUCUGGCAGAGCCUAAGAAAGCUUUGGGAAUUAGGCCCCAGGGGUAAACAAAUCCCCAUAGAUUACAGAAUAUGAUUGUUUUAUAUUAGCAAUAUCCUAAUCAUUGGCCUACAAUACUAAAAACACUGAUAUAGUACAAUGCAGUGCUGUACAGUACAGUGCAGUUUUCAGUUAACAAGGUGUUAGUUAAAACAAACCCAUGCUCAAGUGUUACACUAUGUUUUACAUCAAUAUCAUUAAAAUGUUACCCUGGGUACAUCAAUUCAUUUCUCUUGAUUGCUUGAAUAUUUGUGUUGCUUAUUUGUCAAUUCUGACAAGCCAUGAAGUUGUAAUCCAAAGCUUCUUCCAAAGUCGAAACGUUAAUACAUCUCCAAUAUUAUUAAAGUGACAUCUAAUAGUUAAUAAGAAUGUGAUAAAUACCUUCUAAAAGUAGGUGGAAAGGAUAUUUUCUAUUUGUCAAGAAGUCUCUUUCAAUUUUAUAUCACUGAAUCUCAAGUACGAUGUUUAACCAUGAGAGGAAUUACGAGAAAUAAAUUGAUAUAUUUUUUCCAUGCUAUAUAAUUACAGUAAUUGCUUUAAAUUUAAUAUUGAUUUUUUGUAUGGUUCACCAAGAUUGUAUUUAAAGCACUGUUUAUGAGAACAAAAGAUGUCCGAUUAAUAAUAAGCAUGUUAAAAUUAUUAUAUGUAAUUAAUCAAUGUUUUGUGCAACACUUGACAUUUUUGUCUUCUUUUUUAAAUAUAACUUAAUGUGCUUGAUAAUCAUUUGCUGCUUUAAGCAAUACAUAUUGACCCUAAAUAUUAGAACAGAUUUUGGGAAAAUAAUUGGCUUUGGUUAAUUUUCAAGAGGUUUUGAUCACAAGGAUGUAUGCCUUGUAUGUGAGUGAAGAAAAUAUGAAGCUGAUACUUCAGAGUGGGUGGGUGUGAUGAGUACUUAUGCACCCCCUCCCACACCACCCCACCCCUAAAGUAGUUCCAUUUACAAACAGAAUCAAUUUUAAAUGUUGACGAUCCACGCUUUUGCCAAAAAUGCACAGAAAUUAAUUACCUCACUCUGCAGGAAAUCCUGUUUAAGUGCCUUGAAAAAUACAAGGUAAAUUUUCAUAAAUUCAUUUUAUUUGACAUCAUUUCUCUUGCCUUUCAUCUUUUUCUGUGAAUUUAUGAACAUUAUUAACAACUUAAUUGGGAUUGUAGAUCCAAAGAAAAUUGUGUAAAAUUAUAUAUAUAUAAUUCACUUCAGAAUGAGUAAAUUUGUGAUGUGUACAGUUUGCUUGGUAUGCUGUUGUGCUCAUAUCUAAUGUUAAUCAUAUCAGAUACAGUGACAGAUCCAAGUUGUUUUCGGGGGGGGGGGGUGGGGGCACAGAAACACUGCAAUUCAAAAUGGCUACCUACAAGACUGUCAUUUGCAGGUAUGUGUGUGUGCAGGAAAUUGUGCAUGAAGAGUCUUAGACUAUGGUGAGCAACAUUUUUAGAUGGGGGUUGGGUCAUGCUGCCUCGGGAUAUACAUUGAAUAAAAAAAAAAAAAUCGUUUAAAGGCUGGCAGGGCUUUCGACCCCCAAACCCCUGUACACACACCUGAUUUGCCGGGAAUAAAUGGUGUGCAGGGAGUGAUUCUAAAGCAGAGUUACACCGAUGAAGAGUAAAUUUAUCUAAUAACUUCUCUCAAUGAUACCUCAAUAAAAAAUACCCCCUCCCCCCCUUCUCCCUCUCGUCUCCUCCUUGGAUCUGUUGCCAAAAGAGCAGCUUAAUAAGUUGGCCGUGUUCCAAUGUCUAGUGAUGUAGGUAGGUUUUAUAUUGUGUUGUAACCAAAGAAUAGUUAGCUUUGUAAAUUUGCAUGUACAUGUAUAUCUAAUAUUGUUAAGAAAAAACCCCAACUACUUCUCCAUCUUGGAAUUUAAAAUGUGGUCGAUUUUUUUUUUUUAAGGUGGCCAGUUUUAAUUAUUUACAAGUAUUAACAGUUGUAGUUAUAUCACAAGGAAAUUAAUUGAAUUUUGUUUCCAAUAUUGCUGUGACUUUUUUUUACAAUACUGGUUUAAUAGAAAGAUAGCAAAAAUAAAUGGUUUAAUAUUUCUUGCACAAUAAAUUCAUAUUUUUCAUUUUUGUAUUUGAACAAGUAAUUAAUUGUUUUUUAAUUAUUUUUAUUAACAAAUGAAUUUGCUAUCAUUAGUAUCAAAACAGUUUGUACUUUUUCACGUUUUUGUAUGAAAAUAUGAAUAAAUGUUUUUACAAAGAA